rnacentral:rRNA from 1 species
GAUGAACGCUAGCGGCAGGCCUAAUACAUGCAAGUCGAACGGGAUUGAGGAGCUUGCUCCUCAUGAGAGUGGCGCACGGGUGCGUAACACGUAUGUAACCUACCUUAAUCAGGGGAAUAGCCUCUCGAAAGAGAGAUUAAGACCGCAUAAAAUCACACUAUGGCAUCAUAGAAUGAUCAAAUAUUUAUAGGAUUAAGAUGGGCAUGCGGAACAUUAGCUAGUUGGUAAGGUAACGGCUUACCAAGGCUACGAUGUUUAGGGGAUCUGAGAGGAUGGCCCCCCACACUGGUACUGAGACACGGACCAGACUCCUACGGGAGGCAGCAGUAAGGAAUAUUGGUCAAUGGGCGGAAGCCUGAACCAGCCAUGCCGCGUGCAGGAAGACGGCCCUACGGGUUGUAAACUGCUUUUGUACCGGAAUAGACCUACUUACGUGUAAGUAGCUGAAUGUACGGUAAGAAUAAGGAUCGGCUAACUCCGUGCCAGCAGCCGCCGUAA